rnacentral:tRNA from 1 species
GGAGGGGUGGCCGAGUGGUCGAUGGCGCACGCUUGGAAAGCGUGUAUACCGAAAGGUAUCGUGGGUUCGAAUCCCACUCCCUCCG